AACGAACGCUGGCGGCAUGCCUUACACAUGCAAGUCGAACGGCAGCACGGGAGCAAUCCUGGUGGCGAGUGGCGAACGGGUGAGUAAUAUAUCGGAACGUGCCCAGUCGUGGGGAUAACGUAGCGAAAGCUACGCUAAUACCGCAUACGAUCUAUGGAUGAAAGCGGGGGAUCGCAAGACCUCGCGCGAUUGGAGCGGCCAAUAUCAGAUUAGGUAGUUGGUGAGGUAAAGGCUCACCAAGCCGACGAUCUGUAGCUGGUCUGAGAGGACGACCAGCCACACUGGGACUGAGACACGGCCCAGACUCCUACGGGAGGCAGCAGUGGGAAGU
rnacentral:rRNA from 1 species